rnacentral:misc_RNA from 1 species
GUAAAGUUUAGUAUUCCCUCGAGAGUUCGCAGUUGGGGAAGAAAAGUGCGUAAGAAGGUACGUAUAUGUCUCUAUUAAUCCUCUUAAUAAGCGAAAGUACUGAAUUUUGUUGUUUAUCCUCCUCGCCUCCAAGGAGCCUAGCGAUCUGGCCUAGGCUGCAUAUGAGUUCUGAUUCUAGGCCUCUAACCUAGUCAUUUAAAGUCAGGGCCUUCAUGAAUUUGCCUAGGCCUAUACCCACGUGCACGGCCAUACUCUUGACUCGUUUAUAUAGGCCUUCUAGGUCUCAGAUGGGGACGUAAUGAUGAAACUGUUCAAUAAUCAGAUCACAGUGUUGUUUGCGCCAAAGUAGUUUUUCGAGGCAUAAAGCAAUAUAUUUUAAGAACUACUACUAGCUAGGCCUAGCCUAGGUACUGUAGGACGUCUCUAACGGCUAGGUAAUUAGAUCUAAGCUUGUAUAGGCAAGGCCUAAGCCUACCUCAUAUUAUCACAUAGGCCCUAGGCCUAGGAGGGAACAUUCUUAUUGAUAUAUAAUGAGGAAUUUAGUAUUCUUCUGUCUGAUUUAAAAAAAAUUGUAAUACUGGCAUGGUAGAUGCAUCCUGACAAUGAUGUUUUUUCAGUUUCGAAAACAGUGUUACUCGCUCUCGAUCGUAUUUUCCCAAACUCGCUAGGCCUAGCCUGGGCCUAGAUUAUAACUAGAAUCCAUAAAAACAGACGUGGUAUCCCUUUAGUCAGGACAUACAACCAGCUCAUUGUGUAGAAAUAUACUACUGUAUAGAAAAACAGAUCUGAUGAGGAUAUAAUAAUGCCUUCAUUUUAUCUAAAAAAAUGUGUUAAAAAAACACCAUAGCACUGAAACUGCACUGAUUUGUGUAAGGGCACAUAUAAAAAAUUAUUAGAUUAUCAUUCUUUUUGUAACAAAAAUUGAUGAGGAAGGGGAGUUUUUUUUAUUUUUUUUUAAUCGGAACAAUAGAUUAAUUCGCUUUUGUUUUCAUUGAUGAGGGAGGGUCUGUUCAUAUUUGGUCUGUAAUAGUAAUUAUUGUGCAAAAAUUGGUUUAAUUUUAUAGUUUUUUAAAACCCAUUCAGUCCCAAAAGUGCUUUAGGCGCUUUCUAAUUAUCAUCAUCAAUUAAUUAAUUAAAUGUAUUACAUGUCAUAUAAAUGUCAAUAAAAUUUAUCGUCCUGUGUAUUUUUGACACCUUUUUAAAAAGAAAUAAAUCACUGCGGGACAAAAAACUAAAUUGAGGCAAUUAAAGUCAAAAGGCUCAAAAGAUACUGUAGGACUAUCAUUUAGAUUUUUUGGCAUGCUCUGUCCCAUUUUUAAUUAAUUUGUGACCUUAGGUCACAGUGGAACUAUAGGGAUAAUACAGCAGAUGUGAAAUGUGUGUGUGAGAUGUAUGUGCAGAACAUGUUUUUAAACAAAUGGGCUCAUAAACGUCACCUCGCGGAGGGUACUGUAUAAAGUGUUUGAUUUUAGAAUUUAGAAAUUCAGAAUUUUACGAAAGGGAAGCAAACUUGCAUCUCUCAUUCAAAUUUGCCACAACUUCUUGUGUAGUCAAAAUGUGAUCCGAACACAGGUUUUAACAUAAUAUUCAUAGAUGUACAGUAUAUGUCACUCAUUACAGAUAACUAUGGAAACUGACAGCGAUACUGAUACUCUCAUUAUAUCUGAUAUUGAACAAGCAUGUCUGUGAAUUUUGCCGAACAUAAAAAAGGAGACAAAGGAAAAACUUUUGAUGAAACUAGAUGAGCUCGGUGUAAUAUAUGAGCAGGAUCUUUCGCUAGUCCCAGAGAAUAACAUUCAAGACAUUCUAAAGCCCAUAGAUUUGCGGAAGUGGCAUAGAUUUUUUGAAAUGUAAGAUAUAUUGUAGAUGUAUGGAUAAGGCGUGUUUAUUCUGAUUAUGCGUAUGCUCAGAAUCUAUGAUGAGGUUGACUUGUUUUAAAAAAUAAAUUCGGGGCACUUGUAAUUACAAAGUGCUUCCUAUUUACGAAACAUUUUCAUGCACAUUGUACAGAUUGCAAUUGAUGUCUGUGAUCAAAAGUUGCGAACUGAUAAAAAAAAAAUGUCACUCGCAUUUAUAACUGACGUUGUUCAGACAAUAUACUGUAUUAUUCAACUAUAAUGUCUAAUCAUUAAAAUUAUUAUCAACCUCUAACCUUUGGAAGAAACUAUUUAAAAAAAUUAAUGCUUUUUAAAAGUUUUGAUGCUAUUUUAACAAUUAUAUCUUAUGUAAUUACAUGACACAUAAAUGUGUUGAUUUAGUAACAAGAUACAUAUACACAAAUUAUGUGCCCCAAAACUAAAAUUAACUGUUUACAUUUUGUGCAGGUUUAAAUUGUUAGACUUAUAAUUAUAGUUUGUUGCAAUUCAUCAGAUUUAGUCCUGAAUGUUCUUUCAAUCAACCACUUAAUUAGGGUAUUAAUAAAAACAUGAUGAGAUGUUAUAAAAUGUUAUUACAGCCCGAGAGGAUACCUCCUCCAUCUAUCUAUCUCCUGUAACAUUUGGACGAAGUACUCCAGGAACUUCAUCAAGUCCCAUUUCAAGUCUGGAAGAUUCAUCCAGUUUUGGUGGAAAUUCAAGUCAUGAAGAGUCAUCUUUGCCAUCACUUCCAGGUACACAACAGUUCUAAGUAAAUGUCCUCAUUUGAAAUUGAAUUUGUUUUAAAUUAUCAAGUAUUUUUGUCUCAGUCAUAACAUGGCCACUUUCUGAGCCCAGCAUGCCAAACCUGGCUCAAAAAGCCCUUAAAUGACUUGUUAGAAAGGUACAUGGCCUUUAAUAGGAUAUGACUAGGAUUAUAUCUUUCAGAUUUGUUACCUGGGGGAAAUGUGGGACAAUAACUUGAUUGUACAUUUAGAGGGUCGUGCUUCCAAAUUGAUUUUUAGUGGCCAUGUGUAACUUUGCAUGAUUGCAACUGUAGGAUGAGAGUUUACCAGCAUGGUGUUUGUGUGAAAUGUUAUGUGGUGUAGUGUAGUAAUAAUUGUUGUUUUUAUGCGGGGGAUUUUAAUAUAGACCUAAACUAUUUUAUAUUGAUGUUUAUAGACCAAGGCAGGCUGUCACUUGGAAGCAAAGGCAUUUCAAUGGAUGACAGUGGAGGCAAUCUUGGCGAUGUGAACUGGAACAAAGUACCAAACAGAGUCAAAAAGUAUCUGCAGAAAGGUACACGACUUCCUCCAUCAGAAAGAAAAGAGCUAGUAAGAUUUAUAGUUGAUGAAUGUAUUUAUGACAAUAAACCUUACCCACGCACUUCUCAACUAAGAAUAGUGGCAGCAAAAGCUGUUAGCAAAUAUCCGAAAUCUUUGUUGGAUGUGUGCGACGGAGACACAGUAGGAACCGGUUAUGACAGUUUGUUAAACCAGUUAGUCAAUCGUGUUGACAAUAUUAGCAGACCUAAGUCGCAGGUAUCAUUGAAAGUGCAUGUGCAGCUGAAGGAUGGUAAGCAAUUUAAACGUAAACUAAUGGAUAGUUACGGAUGCGCAAGAUGGCAACCAGAUGGUUUGCCAGAAGGACAAACAGAAGCCACUCAAAAGGAUAUUAUGGAAAAGUUACAGGAUAAGUUCACGAAAAAUGAGAAUGGAGAUGACGUGGAAACUGACAUGAUGUUGACCUAUGCAACCCAACGCAGACAUAUUAACAGCAGAGACCAUCUCUUGAGUGACACAUUAGUGAAAUGGCCCUACCUAUUCCAAGAGCAGUUUCUAAUUCUCCACUGCAACUACCUGCUGGACUUCAAUAUUAUGGAAAAAAUGAAGAUGGCCUAUGCAAAUAAAGUCCCCAAACUACUUAGAUAUUUUGAAGACCAACCCAAAGAAGUAGUUAAAGAGAUAGAGUUAGCAAAGAAAAAGAGAGAAGACAACACACCAGAAAUUAUAGGUCUUCUGACUUGUUUAGGUGCCUACUUUGAAGAGGAAAUUGAACAAGUGAUACUGACCAUGCCCACUGAUCAGGAGAGCCUCUGACAGCUUGCGUCUUCUCUCUGUCAAUUGAAAAACAGGUCACCACCAAAGUUCAUAAUCCUUUGGCAGCUGUAUGUAUUUUGUUUGGCGCAUACUAUGUUUUCAAUCUGAAUUAUCUGUUAGCUAGCCACACAGUAUUGGAAUUCAUACAGAGAGUUAUGCUUGGGAUCAACCCCGAGAAAGGAUCCAAGAAGUCCAGGACAGCUAGAGGCAAAAAACCAGCAAUAAGUCCAAAGAUCUUACAGCUUACCAACGCAUGAGUGAGUUUUGGAUCACUAAAUAUUGUAAAAGAAGCAAGAUUAUAUACUCCAUCUGUCUUUGCUGCCAGCCAUUACAACCUUUAGAUGGAAGGUUAGUUGUCACCAUUGACAAAAAAUUGAUAAUUAUAUGAUUUGUUUGUAGCUCUCAAUCAGCAAUAUAAUAGUGUGUUGCAGUUCUUUUUUUAAACUUGUUUAAACUAUGAUUCAAAAAGGUGAUAAUUUGAUAAUUAGCAAUUGCUGGUUUGAAUUAUGAGGAAUCACGGACAUGGUUUUGAUAGUUAAGUUACCCGUUUAGGGUGUGAUAUGCAGGAAGCCUAAUGUGUGUCAAAUUUGAUCUGCAGGGUGCACUCGCGUGCUAAAAUUAUCCUUGUGAGUAUGGUUUUCACAUCUAUUGAAUAUUCAUGGUUGUCAUAGCAGCAUCUCAGACAGUAUAAUAAAGUGAUAGUAAACAGCCUGCUGUUGACAUAAAAUUGAUAAUUACAGUGUACAGGUAUUUAAAGUCAGGCUCUGGAGGAAAAACAUUUUUUGUUUUGUUGUAGAACUGAUUUUUCUAAGACAGAAAAAUGUAGUUUGAUCAAAAGCUGAGCAACGGUGAAUGAAAUGCAGAUUUUUGAAUAUUUCAAAACUGGGCGAAAAAGAUGUGUAAAAUGGGCGGUUAUGCCCCUUUUUCCCCCAGUUUUUAAAUAUUAAAAAAUCUGUAUAUCAUUCACCUUUGCUCAGUUUUUGAUCAAACUACUUUUUUCUGUCUUAGAAAAAUCAAUUCUACAACAUAUCAAACAUUUUUUUUUUCUUCGGAGCCUGACUUUAAGCUAAAUACAUGUAUUGGUAUUCCAUAAGUAGCAUUGAAAGGUCUAAAGCUUUAGCUUUAAUUACCAUGUUUGUUUAACAGUAGGCUAGCAAAUUUUCUGUACUAUUACUGAUUGAAACUUGUGUUUUUGCUAUGUUUACCAGUAGGCCAGCUAAUUUACUAUUACAGAUUAAAAAUUGUUAGAACUAUGAUAAAAAAUAGAAAAAGUUGAUAAUCAGCAAUUACAGUAUUUGAAUUAAAGGAAUCACAGAUGUGGUUUUGAUAGUAAAGUGAUCCGGUAUUUGCAAAUGAUAUUUAACAAGCAAGUAGAGUGAUUAAAUGAUAAUUACAGUGAUAUAAGCAGGUUAAAUAAUACUCAAAUUUACUGUACUAUUUCUGAUUGAAACUUGUGUUUUUGCUAUGUUUACCAAUAGGCCAGCUAAUUUACUAUUACAGAUUAAAAAUUGUUAGAACUAUGAUAAAAAAUGGGAAAACUUGAUAAUCAGCAAUUACAGUACAGUAUUUGAAUUAUAGGAAUCACAGAUGUGGUUUUGAUAGUAAAGUGAUCCGGUAUUUGCAAAUGAUAUUUAACAAGCAAGUAAAGUGAUUAAAUGAUAAUUACAGUGAUAUAAGCAGGUUAAAUAAUACUCAAAUUUACUGUACUAUUUCUGAUUGAAACUUGUGUUUUUGCUAUGUUUACCAAUAGGCCAGCUAAUUUAUUAUUACAGAUUAAAAAUUGUUAAAACUAUGAUAAAAAAAAGGGUAUAAAAACUUGAUAAUUAGCAAUUACAGUAUUUGAAUUAAAGGAAUCACAGACGUGGUUUUGAUAGUAAAGUGAUCCGGUUUUGCAAAUGAUAGUUAACAAGCAAGUAGAGUGAUUAAAUGAUAAUUACAGUGUUAUAAAGCAGGUUAAAUAAUACUCAAAUUUACUGUACUAUUUCUGAUUGAAACUUGUGUUUUUGCUAUGUUUACCAAUAGGCCAGCUAAUUUAUUAUUACAGAUUAAAAAUUGUUAAAACUAUGAUAAAAAAAAAAGGGUAUAAAAACUUGAUAAUUAGCAAUUACAGUAUUUGAAUUAAAGGAAUCACAGACGUGGUUUUGAUAGUAAAGUGAUCCGGUUUUGCAAAUGAUAGUUAACAAGCAAGUAGAGUGAUUAAAUGAUAAUUACAGUGUUAUAAGCAGGUUAAAUAAUACUCAAAUUUACUGUACUAUUUCUGAUUGAAACUUGUGUUUUUGCUAUGUUUACCAAUAGGCCAGCUAAUUUAUUAUUACAGAUUAAAAAUUGUUAAAACUAUGAUAAAAAAAAAGGGUAUAAAAACUUGAUAAUUAGCAAUUACAGUAUUUGAAUUAAAGGAAUCACAGACGUGGUUUUGAUAGUAAAGUGAUCCGGUUUUGCAAAUGAUAGUUAACAAGCAAGUAGAGUGUUUAAAUGAUAAUUACAGUGUUAUAAGCAGGUUAAAUAAUUCAAAAAAUUUAAAUACUCAGUAUUUAUUGUAUGCAAAUUUUAUAGUUUUGUAAAGAGUUAUAUAUGUUGAAUAAGAUUUACAGAUUUGGUUUUACUGUAUCUUAAAUUCGACAAUCGUCGACAGUAAUUCACCAUAUUUUUACAGAAAUUCAUUAUUAACGAUACCUGUGAUUCUACAUGUUAACAGUUGACCGACAUUCUGAUUGACAGUAUUUUUACGGUUUUCAGAAAUUAUUAAUAACGUCGCCUGUGAUUCUACAUUACGAUUAACAGUAAUUUGACAGUAUUUUUUACAGGAAUUUAACUACUAACGUCAUCUGUGAUCCUACCGGCAUUCAGAUUGACAGUAAUUUCCCGUUUUUUUACGGAAUUUCAUUGUUAACGGUACCUGUGAUUUUACAUAACGUUUGACAGCGGCACUCAUAUUGACAGUAAUUUGACGGUAUUUUUACAUUUGACGGUAUGUUUACAUGGAAUUUUUCUAACAACGUUACCUGUGAUUCUACGUUACAGUUGACGACCGGCAUUCAGAUUGACAGUAAUUUACUGUAUUUUUACAUAAAUUUACUUUUAACGGUAAAUGUGAUUCUACAUUACGGUUGACUACCGGUAUUUAAAUCAACAGUAAUUUACCGUAGUUCUACAUAAAUUUACUUUUAACGGUAAAUGUGAUUUUACAUUACGGUAGACGACUGGCGUCCUGGUUGCCAGUAUUUUGAUGGUAUUUUUACAGGAAUUUAUUAUUUACGGUAAAUGUAAUUAUACAUUACGGUAGACGACUGGCGUCCUGGUUGCCAGUAUUUUGACGGUAUUUUUACAGGAAUUUAUUACUUACGGUAAAUGUAAUUAUACAUUACGGUAGACGACUGGCGUCCUGGUUGCCAGUAUUUUGACGGUAUUUCUACAGGAAUUUAUUAUUUACGGUAAAUGUAAUUAUACAUUACGGUAGACAACUGGCGUCCUGGUUGCCAAUAUUUUGACGGUAUUUUUACAGGAAAAUUUCUAACAGUGCACUUACACAGGAAGGCGGACGGAGUGGCUCGUUCGAUACGAACGAGCCAACGAAUGGUGCGAUCUGCACGUGUUCCGAUUCAAAUUCCGAUUCUUGCCUGAGAUUGCGGAGAGAACGAAAGCACAACUUUAUGUGAAUAAACUGAACAGAGGAGUCGAAAAUUUAUCGACAAAAAAAGCCAAAAAGGAAAAAGAUCAGGACAAGAAAGUUAUGGAAGAAAGCACAAAAACAACGAUCGACAUGCUGCACGCGAAAAAGAACAACAGUAUACACCGUUAUCUUAAAGACGAUGGACUUGACGUUGGGGGGAGGGGAGGGGAAAACAAAAGACGACAGCAAUCGUCCAACGAAGAGAUCGCAAACCGGAACGACGAAUUUUUUUUUUUCAAAGGGAGGCAACGUGUUCGAAUUCCGACUUUGGUUUCGAACGUGGAGAAAAGAAUACAGACUGGGAAAGACCGACGCUCGACGACAAAUGGAAACUCUACAGAAGAUAGAGUCCAAUAGUAUUAUACCGCUGUAUAAAAAAAAACAGUGGAUUGUGACAGGUGAAAAAACGACA